rnacentral:rRNA from 1 species
UACGUAGGGGGCAAGCGUUGUCCGGAUUCAUUGGGCGUAAAGAGCGUGUAGGCGGCCAGGUAGGUCGGUUGUGAAAACUGGAGGCUUAACCUCCAGACGUCGACCGAAACCAUCUGGCUAGAGUCCGGAAGAGGAGAGUGGAAUUCCUGGUGUAGCGGUGAAAUGCGCAGAUAUCAGGAAGAACACCCGUGGCGAAGGCGGCUCUCUGGGACGGUACUGACGCUGAGACGCGAAAGCGUGGGGAGCGAACAGG